rnacentral:rRNA from 1 species
AGGGCGCACGGUGGAUGCCUUGGCACUAGGAGCCGACGAAGGACGUGACAAACGACGAUAUGCCUUGGGUAGCUGUAAGUAAGCGAUGAUCCAGGGAUUUCCGAAUGGGGGAACCCAACAGGUAAUACCUGUUACCUACAUCUGUUAAGGAUGUGAGGAGGAAGACGCAGUGAACUGAAACAUCUAAGUAGCUGCAGGAAGAGAAAGCAAAAGCGAUUGCCUUAGUAGCGGCGAGCGAAACGGCAGAAGGGCAAACCGAAGAGUUUACUCUUCGGGGUUGUAGGACUGCAAUGUGGACUCAAAGAUUAUAGAAGAAUGAUUUGGGAAGAUCAGCCAAAGAGAGUAAUAGCCUCGUAUUUAAAAUAGUCUUUGUACUUAGCAGUAUCCUGAGUACGGCGGGACACGUGAAAUCCCGUCGGAAUCUGGGAGGACCAUCUCCCAACCCUAAAUACUCCCUAGUGACCGAUAGUGAACCAGUACCGUGAGGGAAAGGUGAAAAGCACCCCGGGAGGGGAGUGAAAUAGAACCUGAAACCGUGUGCCUACAACAAGUUCGAGCCCGUUAAUGGGUGAGAGCGUGCCUUUUGUAGAAUGAACCGGCGAGUUACGUUAUGAUGCGAGGUUAAGUUGAAGAGACGGAGCCGUAGGGAAACCGAGUCUGAAUAGGGCGCCUUAGUAUCAUGACGUAGACCCGAAACCAUGUGACCUACCCAUGAGCAGGUUGAAGGUGCGGUAAGACGCACUGGAGGACCGAACCAGGGCACGUUGAAAAGUGCUUGGAUGACUUGUGGGUAGCGGAGAAAUUCCAAACGAACUUGGAGAUAGCUGGUUCUCUCCGAAAUAGCUUUAGGGCUAGCGUCGACAUUAGAGAUUCUUGGAGGUAGAGCACUGUUUGGGUGAGGGGUCCAUCCCGGAUUACCAAUCUCAGAUAAACUCCGAAUGCCAAUGAAUUAUGGUCGGCAGUCAGACUGCGAGUGCUAAGAUCCGUAGUCGAAAGGGAAACAGCCCAGACCACCAGCUAAGGUCCCAAAAUAAUUGUUAAGUGGAAAAGGAUGUGGGGUUGCACAGACAACUAGGAUGUUAGCUUAGAAGCAGCUAUUCAUUCAAAGAGUGCGUAAUAGCUCACUAGUCGAGUGACCCUGCGCCGAAAAUGUACCGGGGCUAAAACAAUUUACCGAAGCUGUGGAUACCUUUAUAGGUAUGGUAGGAGAGCGUUCUAUGUGUGAUGAAGGUAUACCGUGAGGAGUGCUGGAACGCAUAGAAGUGAGAAUGCCGGUAUGAGUAGCGAAAGACAGGUGAGAAUCCUGUCCACCGUAAGACUAAGGUUUCCAGGGGAAGGCUCGUCCGCCCUGGGUUAGUCGGGACCUAAGGAGAGACCGAAAGGUGUAUCCGAUGGACAACAGGUUGAUAUUCCUGUACUAGAGUAUGUAGUGAUGGAGGGACGCAGUAGGCUAACUAAAGCAGACGAUUGGAAGAGUCUGUCUAAGCAGUGAGGUGUGAAUUGAGUCAAAUGCUUAAUUCUAUAACAUUGAGCUGUGAUGGGGAGCGAAGUUUAGUAGCGAAGUUAGUGACGUCACACUGCCAAGAAAAGCUUCUAGCGUUUAAACAUACUCUACCCGUACCGCAAACCGACACAGGUAGUCGAGGCGAGUAGCCUCAGGUGAGCGAGAGAACUCUCGUUAAGGAACUCGGCAAAAUGACCCCGUAACUUCGGGAGAAGGGGUGCUGACUUAAAGUCAGCCGCAAGGAAUAGGCCCAAGCAACUGUUUAUCAAAAACACAGCUCUCUGCUAAAUCGUAAGAUGAUGUAUAGGGGGUGACGCCUGCCCGGUGCUGGAAGGUUAAGAGGAGUGCUUAGCGUAAGCGAAGGUAUGAAUUGAAGCCCCAGUAAACGGCGGCCGUAACUAUAACGGUCCUAAGGUAGCGAAAUUCCUUGUCGGGUAAGUUCCGACCCGCACGAAAGGCGUAAUGAUUUGGGCACUGUCUCAACGAGAGACUCGGUGAAAUUUUAGUACCUGUGAAGAUGCAGGUUACCCGCGACAGGACGGAAAGACCCCAUGGAGCUUUACUGCAGUUUGAUAUUGAGUGUCUGUACCACAUGUACAGGAUAGGUAGGAGUCUAAGAGAUCGGGACGCCAGUUUCGAAGGAGACGCUGUUGGGAUACUACCCUUGUGUUAUGGCCACUCUAACCCAGAUAGGUGAUCCCUAUCGGAGACAGUGUCUGACGGGCAGUUUGACUGGGGCGGUCGCCUCCUAAAAGGUAACGGAGGCGCCCAAAGGUUCCCUCAGAAUGGUUGGAAAUCAUUCGCAGAGUGUAAAGGUAUAAGGGAGCUUGACUGCGAGAGCUACAACUCGAGCAGGGACGAAAGUCGGGCUUAGUGAUCCGGUGGUUCCGUAUGGAAGGGCCAUCGCUCAACGGAUAAAAGCUACCCUGGGGAUAACAGGCUUAUCUCCCCCAAGAGUUCACAUCGACGGGGAGGUUUGGCACCUCGAUGUCGGCUCGUCGCAUCCUGGGGCUGUAGUCGGUCCCAAGGGUUGGGCUGUUCGCCCAUUAAAGCGGCACGCGAGCUGGGUUCAGAACGUCGUGAGACAGUUCGGUCCCUAUCCGUCGCGGGCGUAGGAAAUUUGAGAGGAUCUGCUCCUAGUACGAGAGGACCAGAGUGGACUUACCGCUGGUGUACCAGUUGUCUUGCCAAAGGCAUCGCUGGGUAGCUAUGUAGGGAAGGGAUAAACGCUGAAAGCAUCUAAGUGUGAAACCCACCUCAAGAUGAGAUUUCCCAUGAUUAU